rnacentral:tRNA from 1 species
GGAUUGUAGCUCAGUGGUAGAGUGCAAGCCUAGUAUGUGUGAGGCACUAGGUUUGAUUCUCAGCACCA